CAUGCAGACGGAGCCUCUAUAUUCUUCAUCUGCCUUUAUGCUUACAUUGGACGUGGCCUAUAAUAUGGCUCCCACGCCUUCCAAGAAACAUGAAACAUUGGUGUACUAUUAUUAUUCACAGUUAUAGUUACCGCAUUCAUAGGUUACAUCCUACCUUGAGGACAAUUAUCAUUCUGAGGUGCAACCGUUAUUACUAACCUCCUAUCAGCAAUCCCCUAUAUCGGGACUACUUUAGUAGAAUGAACUUGAGGUGGGUUUUCCGUAGACAAAGCAACAGUAACACGCUUCUUCGCCUUCCACUUUAUCUUUCCAUUUAUCAUUACAGCACUAGCAGCCGUCCACCUACUAUUCCUUCGCGAAAUGGGAUCUAAUAAUCCCACAGGAAUUCCAUCCAAUAUAGACAAAAUCCCAUUCCGUCCCUACUACACAAUCAAAGACAUUCUAGGUGCUUUACUACUAAUCUUAACCCUACUCGCAGUAACCCUGUUCACACCCGACCUACUAGGUGACCCUGACAACUACACCCCAGCAAACCCACUAAGCACCCCAGCACACAUGAAACCAGAGUGAUACUUUCUAUUUGCAUACGCAAUUCUACGAUCAAUCCCUAAUAAACUAGGAGGAGUAUUAGCACUACUACUCUCCAUCCUCAUCCUAAUAUUCAUCCCAAUACUCCAAACAUCUAAACAACGAAGCAUAAUAUUCCAACCCUUUAGCCAACUCUUAUUCUGAGUACUAGUUGCAGACCUCCUAACCUUAACAUGAAUUGGAGGCCAACCCGUAGAACACCCAUACAUUAUUGUAGGUCAGUUAGCAUCCAUCCUAUACUUUCUCCUAAUCCUAGUAUUAAUACCAGGAACUAGCCUUAUCGAAAACAAACUCCUAAAAUGAAGAGUCUUUGUAGUAUAACAAAAUACCCCGGUCUUGUAAACCGGAAAAGGAGAAAUUCAUCCCUCCCUAAGACUCAAGGAAGAGGUAUUAAACCUCACCACCAACACCCAAAGCUGGAAUUCUACAUACACUAUUCCUUGAAAAAGUUUAUUGUAGAAUAACCACAACACUACAGUACUAUGUCAGUAUUGAAAGUAAUUUAUUUUAAAACAUUUCUGUUGUUCAUAUUACAUGCAUAUGUAUGUCCACAUACCAGUAAUAGCGUCUUCCUGUAAAUGUUUACGUGUACAUGCUAUGUAUUACUGUGCAUUCAUUUAUUUUCCAUACGGUCGGUUAAAGCUCGUAUUAAAUUUUAUUAAUUUACAUAUUAUAUAUUAUUGAUCGUACAUAGUACAUGUCAUUAAAUACAUUUAUAUCCACUAACACUAUGGCCGCUCCAUUAGAUCACGAGCUUAAUCACCAUGCCGCGUGAAACCAGCAACCCGCUCGGCAGGGAUCCCUCUUCUCGCACCGGGCCCAUACAUCGUGGGGGUAGCUAACGGUGAUCUUUAUAAGACAUCUGGUUCUUACUUCAGGACCAUUUUAACUUAAAAUCGCCCACUCGUUCCCCUUAAAUAAGACAUCUCGAUGGAUUAAUGACUAAUCAGCCCAUGCUCACACAUAACUGAGAUUCCAUACAUUUGGUAUAUUUUAUUUUUGGUGGGGGGGGGGGCCUGCACAGACUCAGCUAUGACCUUAAAAGGUCUCGUCACAGUCAAGCAAAUUGUAGCUGGACUUGUAUGUAGUUUUGAUUUGAGUAGCACAACCAACGUGUGCAGUUAAAUUAAUGGUCACAGGACAUAGUACUCCACUAUUCCCCCCGGGCUCAAAAAACUGUAUCUCAUAGGGGUCCAAACCCCCCUUACCCCCUACAAAACUGACCGUCUGCUUAGAUAUUCACCACCCCCCUAGACAGCUUUGUCCCUAGAUCCACGAAUCUUUUUUUUCGUAAAUCAAUACUAAAUCUGACACAAGCCGCCUAAUGAAAUUAUACGAACAUCUUUUACACCCCAUAGGUUAAUGUAGCUUAAAUUUUUCAUAAAGCAAGACACUGAAAAUGUCUAGAUGGGCUCGCCAGCCCCAUCAACAUAAAGGUUUGGUCCCAGCCUUUCUAUUAAUUCUUAACAGACUUAACACAUGCAAUCAUCCACACCCCGGUGAGAAUGCCCUCCAAAUCAUAAAGAUCAAAAGGAGCGGGUAUCAAGCACGCUACACUAGCAGCUCACAACACCUUGCUUAGCCACACCCUCACGGGACACAGCAGUGGUAAAAAUUAAGCCAUGAACGAAAGUUUGACUAAGUUAUGUUAGCUAGGGUUGGUAAACUUCGUGCCAGCCACCGCGGUCAUACGAUUGACCCAAAUUAAGAGAGACCCAGCGUAAAGAGUGUUAAGGAAGCACACAAAAUAAAGUAAAAUCCUAAUUAAGCUGUAAAAAGCCAUAAUUAAAACUAAGCCAAACCACGAAAGUGACUUUAGUACAAUCUGAGUACAUGACAACUGAGACCCAAACUGGGAUUAGACACCCCACUAUGCUUAGUCGUAAACUUAAAUAGUCCCAAAACAAGGCUAUUCGCCAGAGUAUUACUGGCAACAGCCUAAAACUCAAAGGACUUGGUGGUGCUUCAUAUCCCUCUAGAGGAGCCUGUUCUGUAACCGAUAAACCCCGAUCAACCUCACCAACCCUUGCUACUUCAGUCUAUAUACUGCCAUCUUCAGCAAACCCUAAAAGGGAACGAAAGUAAGCAUAACUACCCUACAUAAAAAUGUUAGGUCAAGGUGUAACCUAUGGGUUGGGAAGAAAUGGGCUACAUUUUCUAUAAUAAGAGCACCCCUUAUAUCCACACGAAAGUUUUUAUGAAACCUAAAAACUAAAGGAGGAUUUAGUAGUAAAUUAAGAGUAGAGUGCUUAAUUGAAUAAGGCCAUGAAGCACACACACACCGCCCGUCACCCUCCUCAAGUAUCAUAGCAAAGCCCCAGUUCACUAACCCAUGCUAAGCAACUAUACGAGAGGAGACAAGUCGUAACAAGGUAAGCAUACUGGAAAGUGUGCUUGGAUAAAACAAGAUAUAGCUUAAACAAAGCAUCUAGUUUACACCUAGAAGAUUCCACAACCCGUGUAUAUCUUGAACUAUACCUAGCCCAUACCCUCUCCACCGCUACUACCAUAAACUAAUCAAAUAAAACACUUACCAUACAUCUAAAGUAUAGGAGAUAGAAAUUUAGUCAUCAAUGGCGCUGUAGAGAAAGUACCAUAAGGGAAAGAUGAAAGAAUUAUUAAAAGUAAAAAAAAGCAAAGCUUACCCCUUGUACCUUUUGCAUAAUGACUUAACUAGUAAUAACUUAGCAAGGAGACCUUAAGCUAAAUUACCCGAAACCAGACGAGCUACUUACAAGCAGUAACUAGAACAAACUCAUCUAUGUGGCAAAAUAGUGAGAAGACUUAUAAGUAGAGGUGAAAAGCCUAACGAGCCUGGUGAUAGCUGGUUGUCCAAGAAAGGAAUUUCAGUUCAACAUUAAAUAAUACUAAAAACCACAUCAAGUUUUAACGUAUAUUUAAUUGUUAGUCUAAAAAGGUACAGCUUUUUAGAAAUGGAUACAACCUUUACUAGAGAAUAAUAUAAACCUAAACCAUAGUUGGCCUAAAAGCAGCCACCAAUUAAGAAAGCGUUGAAGCUCAACAACAAAACUACGUUUUAAUUUCAACAAUAAAUAAAUUAACUCCUAGCCUGAUUAUUGGACUAAUCUAUUCAAUUAUAGAGGUAACACUGUUAACAUGAGUAACAAGAAAUUUUUCUCCUCGCACAACCUUACAUCAGUAACUGAUAAUAUACUGAUAAUUAACAGUUAAUAAAUAUAAACCAACACUAAAUUAUUUAUUAAAUACACUGUUAACCCAACACAGGCAUGCAUUAAGGAAAGAUUUAAAAAAGCAAAAGGAACUCGGCAAACACAAACCCCGCCUGUUUACCAAAAACAUCACCUCUAGCAUAACCAGUAUUAGAGGCACUGCCUGCCCAGUGACAAUCGUGAAACGGCCGCGGUAUCCUGACCGUGCACAGGCAGCAUAAUCACUUGUUCUCUAAGUAAGGACUUGUAUGAAUGGCCACACGAGGGGUUUACUGUCUCUUACUUUUAAUCAGUGAAAUUGACCUCGCCAUGAAGAGGCGGGGAUAAUAAAAUAGGACGAGAAGACCCUAUAGAGCUUCAAUUAAUCAACCCAAAAAUCACAAAAUAAAACCACCAAGGGAUAACAAAGUUUUAUAUGGGCUGACAAUUUCAGUUGGGGUGACCUCGGAGUACAAAAAAACCUCCGAGUGAUUAAAGCCUAGGCCUACUAGCCAAAGCAUAGUAUCACUUAUUGAUCCAAAAUUUUGAUCAACGGAACAAGUUACCCUAGGGAUAACAGCGCAAUCCUAUUCUAGAGUCCAUAUCGACAAUAAGGUUUACGACCUCGAUGUUGGAUCAGGACAUCCUAAUGGUGCAGCCGCUAUUAAAGGUUCGUUUGUUCAAUGAUUAAAGUCCUACGUGAUCUGAGUUCAGACCGGAGCAAUCCAGGUCGGUUUCUAUCUAUUACGCAUUUCUCCCAGUACGAAAGGACAAGAGAAAUAAGGCCAACUUCAAAAAAGCA